rnacentral:rRNA from 1 species
CUGCAUGGCUGUCGUCAGCUCGUGCGUGAGAUGUUGGGUUAAGUCCGUAACGAGCGCAACCCUGUCCUUAGUUACCAGCACGUUAUGGUGGGCACUCUAAGGAGACUGCCGGUGACAAACCGGAGGAAGGUGGGGAUGACGUCAAGUCAUCAUGGCCCUUACGGCCUGGGCUACACACGUGCUACAAUGGUCGGUACAAAGGGUUGCCAAGCCGCGAGGUGGAGCUAAUCCCAUAAAACCGAUCGUAGUCCGGAUCGCAGUCUGCAACUCGACUGCGUGAAGUCGGAAUCGCUAGUAAUCGUGAAUCAGAAUGUCACGGUGAAUACGUUCCCGGGCCUU